GGUCAAGCGAACAAGUGCAUGUGGUGGAUGCCUUGGCGAUCACAGGCGAUGAAGGACGCGGUAGCCUGCGAAAAGCUUCGGGGAGCUGGCAAACAAGCUUUGAUCCGGAGAUGUCCGAAUGGGGAAACCCGGCCCGUAUGGGUCAUCCCUUGCUGAAUACAUAGGCAAGGGAAGCGAACGCGGCGAACUGAAACAUCUAAGUAGCUGCAGGAACAGAAAUCAACCGAGAUUCCCAAAGUAGUGGCGAACGAAAUGGGAAGAGCCUUGUACUCUUUAGCAGUGUUGUUAGCAGAACGGGAUGGAAAGCCCGGCCAUAGCAGGUGAUAGCCCUGUAUGCGAAAACAGCGUUGUGGAACUAGGUGUACGACAAGUAGGGCGGGACACGUGAAAUCCUGUCUGAACAUGGGGGGACCAUCCUCCAAGGCUAAAUACUCGUGAUCGACCGAUAGUGAACCAGUACCGUGAGGGAAAGGCGAAAAGAACCCCGGAAGGGGAGUGAAAUAGAUCCUGAAACCGUGUGCAUACAAACAGUAGGAGCCCUGUAAGGGGUGACGGCGUACCUUUUGUAUAAUGGGUCAGCGACUUACAUUCAGUGGCAAGCUUAACCGAUUAGGGCAGGCGUAGCGAAAGCGAGUCCGAACAGGGCGUUCAGUCGCUGGGUGUAGACCCGAAACCAGAUGAUCUAUCCAUGGCCAGGUUGAAGGUGCGGUAACACGUACUGGAGGACCGAACCCACUAACGUUGAAAAGUUAGGGGAUGAGCUGUGGAUAGGGGUGAAAGGCUAAACAAACUUGGAAAUAGCUGGUUCUCUCCGAAAACUAUUUAGGUAGUGCCUCAAGUAUCACCAUCGGGGGUAGAGCACUGU
rnacentral:rRNA from 1 species